GACGUAGGAGGCGAACGUUAUCCGAAUUUACUGGGCGUAAAGCGCGUGCAGGCGGUUCGGUAAGUUGGAUGUGAAAUCUCCUGGCUCAACUGGGAGAGGUCGUUCAAUACUGUCGGACUAGAGGGUGGUAGAGGGAGGUGGAAUUCCCGGUGUAGUGGUGAAAUGCGUAGAUAUCGGGAGGAACACCAGUGGCGAAGGCGGCCUCCUGGACCAUUCCUGACGCUCAGACGCGAAAGCUAGGGGAGCGAAC
rnacentral:rRNA from 1 species